AAGGUCGGAAAUGUUACCGAAGGAGUAGGACAGAGACUGAUCUGUGGCCAAAUGGGCUUGAUAGUGGAUGUAUCUACCCACGGCUAGGCACUGCUGGCCAACUGCUGGCCUCCUUAACCAACCAUGUGGUCAAGACUUCCCCCUGAUCUGCAGGCAGAAAGAUCUGAAAACAGAGGGGAAUGCUGAGCUGAGCCAGCUCCAUUCUUCCCCAAACUCACCAAUCUGACCAUUCAGCCUCCCUCCCAAGGCAGGAAGGAGUGAGGGCCGCAGGUGGAGAGCAGGCUGCGGUUCUCAGCCUUGGCUGGAUAUUAGAACUGCUGAGAAGCUUGGCAAAUCCUGACGCGCAGGUCACCUAAAGGAAUUACACAGAGGUUUUUGAGGAACUCUCUUCUUCCAUGUCUGGAAUAUUCCUGAUGGGAAGCUGGACAUUUAGGAUGAAGCAGCAGGACUGUGUUGAGAGCUAUUCCUCCCAAAAAGCCAUGUCUUCUUCAAUAAUGCUAAGUGGCAGUUGUUCUUCAAAAAUUAUCUAUCUAUCUAUCUAUCUAUCUAUCUAUCUAUCUAUCUAUCUAUCUAUCUAAUCUAUUUCUCUAUCAUCUCUAUCAAUUUUCUAUCUGUCUAUCUUAUGAAAACUCUAUAUAUUUAUGGAAUUUUUCUUACUAAA
rnacentral:lncRNA from 1 species